rnacentral:rRNA from 1 species
AUUGAACGCUGGCGGUAUGCUUAACACAUGCAAGUCGAACGGUAACAUAAGGAGCUUGCUCCUUGAUGACGAGUGGCGGACGGGUGAGUAACGCGUAGGAAUCUACCUUUCGGUGGGGGAUAGCCCGGAGAAAUCCGGAUUAAUACCGCAUACGACCUAAGGGUGAAACGGGGCCAAUCCUUGGAAGCUCCGACCGAAAGAUGAGCCUGCGUUAGAUUAGCUAGUUGGUAGGGUAAUGGCCUACCAAGGCGACGAUCUAUAGCUGGUCUGAGAGGAUGAUCAGCCACACUGGGACUGAGACACGGCCCAG